UUUCCGAUGAGGUUCAGUGAAAGUUUCUCUCUGCAACAUCUGCGAACAAAACAAUCUCUCCCUCUUCCCAUUUCUUUUCCCAUCCUGGGAGAGAGCGAGACAGAGAAAGAUACUGUUCACUUGCAGCAAUUAAAGUGAGUGGACUUGAAUCCAGGGAAGGAGCAUACUCUUCAGCGGUUACUUCAGGUAUUCGAUGGAGAUAAUGUACAGACUUGAAAUAAACAACAUAUCAAUAUCUGAGAGAAUGACUCUUUUGUGCUUGGAAAAAUCAUGAGCCUUUGACUGUCGAGGGAGAAAUGCUCUGUCUGUGGAAAAUGAUUAUUUGAAAAUUUCGAUAGUUCAGAUUAACUGAUCAGAGUGUGAGAAUGUGGAACGAUGGAGUAUCUAACUGCCAAACUGGAAAGAACAGACAGUCCCACGGGAGUGGAGGGAAGAAUGGGUGACAGAAAAUGUAUCAAGCAAAGCUAAAAGAAAGGGAAGGAAUGGCUUCACGAUUUGAUGGUGUUGAACUCAACAUUAAGUCCAGAAGAGACUGUUCCCUCUGGGACUUGAUCUGAACUGUCAACGUCCUUUCUCCCUCAGCACACCAACCCCUCGAACUGCAGCCCACCCACUCCUCCACAGAGAUAAUAAGGUGUAGAGCUGGAUAAACGCAGCAGGCCAAGCAGCAUCAGAGGAGCAGGAAGGCUGACGUUUCAGGCCUAGACCCUUCUUCAGAAAUCCAGCUCUGUUGAAGAGUUAUCUAGACUCGAUCCGUUGGUUUGCUUUCGUUCAAUGGAUGCUGACUGACCUGCUGUGAUCUCAACAAUCUCCAUUUGUGUUUUCAGUAUGGAUUUUAGCAUUUGCAGUAAUUUGCUCCUACUCUAAGUCUUUAUGACUGAUACCAGAAAACAUUUUGGCUAAACAGGGUGUCUCAGUAAAAUCAGUGAUGGCCCACAUGUCCUGUGUGUCUGGAUGGGGAUCCUGUUCCCACCACCCUCUGCCCAACUCUUUUCAUCGACCUUCAAGAGACAGUGUUCCAGUGGCUUCAUGGGGACUACAACUCCCACAAUCCCUGUCGCCGCGGGUCAUGUGGCAGGUUCUACGUGGAUGGGAAACUGGGAUUCGCACGUGUUCAGGGUUGAAUUUGGGGCGGGAACAUCUCUCGUUACAUGAUUGGUUUGUGAUCACAGCACCCUCUUUUUCUAUUGGCAGAAGGUUUCAACCGUCAUGUGGUCAAGGCAGCUGCUUCCCCACGCGAAUCCAUGUUCCUUUCCAAUUCCGUCAUAAUUCUGUAAUAUGACCAAUCGAAAGAGCUGGAGGACCGGAAGCAAGCUUGAUCUCCAGCCAAUCACUUCCCCUGUUGUCUGAGCGCGAACGCGGGACAAUCCAGUAAAGUUGCUGCUGCUCUUCUGUGAAUGAAGAUUGAGCUUCACCCAGACUGAAACUUCCUCCUCUGUCCAUCAUCUGUGAGGAAACAAUUUUUCCCAAUUUUUUUUUUUUAAAUUCUGAUGUGAAAUUAUUUACUUGCAGCAACUGACAGGAAAUGAAGUGAACCCAGGGAGGGAGUCCAGGAAAAGAAAUGAUGAUCACUUAGAUUUGGCUGUUCUGAAUUUUUCACCGAAUUUCUAGUCUAAUAGUGAUGAAAUUUUAUAACUCUUUUUACGUUAUGUUAAAAAGGGAAGAUUUAAACAGCAAUCUCAAAAUGAUCAUCACGUGACGUCACUAAAAUAGCUGGUACUUGAAUAUCAUUGGCUUGAAACAAUAGAUCCAGAAUAUCUGUCCUGGCUGCUUCAAAAUAUUUGAAACAUCAGUUUGUCUGGAAAAGUACUGACACAUGCACACCUAAGUGAGAGUUCUCUAGUGAACUGAUAUACCUUCAUCCAAUCUCCCAGCCUAAAAGAACAUUGCACCGUUCACAGUAGGAAGAGACCAUACCUGUGUUUCUGGGUGGACAAGGAUUCAGAUGAUUGUAAAACUUACAGGGACACAAAGCCGCACAUAACAUGGAGAAACCAUGGAAAUGUGAGGAUUGUGGGAAAGGAUUUCAUUCCUUGUCGACGCUGGAGUUUCAUCAACAUGGUCACAGCAGGGAGAGGUUGUUCACCUGUUCUGAGUAUGGGAACGGAUUCCCUGAUUCAUCUGCUCUGCAGAAACACCAGCGUGCUGCCACUGGAGAGAGGCUAUUCACCUGUUCAUUGUGUAGGAAGGAAUUCCAUGAAUAUUUCACCCUGUUGAAACAUCAGCGAGUUCACGCAGGGAAGAGGCCAUCUACGUGUUUGGAGUUUGGGAAAGUAUUCACUCAGUUAUCCAAUCUUAGUGCAAAACAGCAAGUUCACAUUGCAGAGAGGCCAUUUAUAUGCUCUGAUUGUGGAAAAGAAUUCGCUGAGACGUCAGCGAAUCCCACACGGGUGAGGCCAUUCAAAUGUUCCAAGUGUGGGAAGCGGUUCAGAGAUUCAUCUACGCUGCAGAAACACCACUAGGUUCAUACUGGGGAGAAGCCCUUCAUCUGUUCUGAAUUCUUUCCCACAUUCACUCGGUUAUCCAGUCUGUGGAAGAAUAAGAACGUUCACAAAUGAUCGUAGGACUUGGAUCUGCAGUUAAUCUGCAACAUUUGAGCUGCUAGACAGCACGUUUCAAACCCACAAUGUUCACCACCUAGAAUAACUAGUGCAGCAGUUACAUGGGACCAUUACAACCUGCAUGCUCCCCUCCAUAUCACACAUCAUUCUCAUUAACAGGAUGUUAGAAAGGGAAGAUUUGCAGACAGAAAUCUCAAAAUGACCAUCACGUGAAGCUGUAAUGGAGUCACUGAAAUCACUGGGAUUUGAAUAUCAUGCUCCUCCACAUUGGCUGUUCUUUCACUGUCAAUGAGUCAAAAUCCUGGAACUCUACCCUAACAGCAUUGUGGGUGAUCCUACAACACAAGGACUGCAAGUCCCAGAAAGCAACUCACCACCACUUUCUGAAGGAGGAUGACUGGGAUGGGCAACAAGUGCUGACCUAGACAUUGAUACCUGUACAUCAUAAAUUGAUUUUAAAAAUGAGGGAAAUCACAUCCAGGACAGAGCUGUAUUCAUUUGGACAGUGGGUGAAGUGGGAGGGCCGGAAGGUUUCCAUCUGCUGGACUAGCCGCUCUCACCACUUUGCUUCCAGUGAGGAUGAUGCUCUUUGAGCCUGGGACUGCACAUUUACUCUGAAACUACCCCUAAAACCUGUUGAAGUACAUUUACUUUAUCCUGAAUUGUAAGUAACGUUUACCUUACUCCUCCAAUUAGACCAAAAAUAAAUGUUUGUCUUUAUUC